rnacentral:rRNA from 1 species
AGCAAUACCUAACCGGCGAACGGGUGCGUAACACGUGAACAACCUGCCCUCGUGUGGGGGAUAGCCGGGCUAACGCCCGGGUAAUACCGCAUACGUUCCUCUGGGGGAGUCCCCGGGGGAGGAAAGCUCCGGCGCACGGGGAGGGGUUNNCGGCCUAUCAGCUAGUUGGCGGGGUAACGGCCCACCAAGGCGACGACGGGUAGCUGGUCUGAGAGGAUGGCCAGCCACAUUGGGACUGAGAGACGGCCCAGACUCCUACGGGAGGCAGCAGUGGGGAAUCUUGCGCAAUGGUCGAAAGACUGACGCAGCGACGCCGCGUGUGGGAGGACGCCUUUCGGGGUGUAAACCACUGUUGCCCGGGACGAAUUGGUCGAGUUCAUCGACCGUGACGGUACCGGGUGAGGAAGCACCGGCUAACUCCGUGCCAGCAGCCGCGGUAAUACGGAGGGUGCGAGCGUUGUCCGGAAUCAUUGGGCGUAAAGGGCGCGUAGGUGGCCCGGUCAGUCCGUGGUGAAAGCGCGGGGCUCAACCCUGCGUCUGCCAUGGAUACUGCCGCGGCUCGAGCACUGUAGAGGCAGGCGGAAUUCCGGGUGUAGCGGUGGAAUGCCUAAAGAUCCGGAAGAACACCGGUGGCGAAAGCGGCCUGCUGGGCAGUAUGGCUGACACUGAGGCGCGACAGCGUGGGGAGCAAACAGGAUUAGAUACCCUGGUAGU